rnacentral:rRNA from 1 species
GGAGAGGCCUGUGGGUCGUAACCUCUUUUCUCGGGAAGAAGAUCUGACGGUACCUGAGGAAUCAGCAUCGGCUAACUCCGUGCCAGCAGCCGCGGUAAGACGGAGGAUGCAAGCGUUAUCCGGAAUUAUUGGGCGUAAAGCGUCCGUAGGUGGUUUAUCAAGUCUGUUGUUAAAGCUCACAGCUCAACUGUGAAUCGGCAAUGGAAACUGAAAGACUAGAGUGUGGUAGGGGUAGAGGGAAUUCCUAGUGUAGCGGUGAAAUGCGUAGAUAUUAGGAAGAACACCAGUGGCGAAGGCGCUCUACUGGGCCAUAACUGACACUGAUGGACGAAAGCUAGGGGA